rnacentral:rRNA from 1 species
GACGAACGCUGGCGGCGUGCUUAACACAUGCAAGUCGAACGGAAAGGCACUGCUUUCGUGGGGUGCUCGAGUGGCGAACGGGUGCGUAACACGUGAGUAACCUGCUCUAGACUUUCGGAUAACUUAAGGAAACUGGGGCUACUCCAGGAUCGGAGAUCCUGCUGCAUGGAGGGGGUUGGAACGUCUCGGCGGUUGGGGAUGGACUCGCGGCUUAUCAGCUUGUUGGUGGGGUAGUGGCUUACCAAGGCUUUGACGGGUAGCCGGCCUGAGAGGGUGACCGGCCACAUGGGGACUGAGGGACGGCCCAGACUCCAACGGGAGGCAGCAGUGGGGAAUAUUGCACAAUGGGCGGAAGCCGGAUGCAGCAACGCCGCGGUCGUGAUGACGGCCUGCGGGUUGUGAACCGCUGUCGCCUGUGACGAAGCGUGAGUGACGGUAAUGGGUAAAGAAGCACCGGCUAACUACGUG